UAGUACGGCGAGUGAGCGGGAAGAGCUCAAAUUUGAAAUCUGGCAGUCUUCGAUUGUCCGAGUUGUAAUCUAUAGAGGCGUUUUCCGUGCCGGACCGUGUCCAAGUCUCCUGGAAAGGAGUAUCAAAGAGGGUGAUAAUCCCGUACUUAACACGACCACCGGUGCUCUGUGAUACGUCUUCUACGAGUCGAGUUGUUUGGGAAUGCAGCUCAAAAUGGGUGGUGAAUUCCAUCUAAAGCUAAAUAUUGGCGAGAGACCGAUAGCGAACAAGUACCGUGAGGGAAAGAUGAAAAGCACUUUGGAAAGAGAGUUAAACAGUACGUGAAAUUGUUGAAAGGGAAACGAUUGAAGUCAGUCGUGUUCUUUGGAUUCAGCCAGUUCUGCUGGUCUACUUCCUUGGAACGGGUCAACAUCAGUUUUGUCCGGUGGAUAAAGGUAGUAGGAAUGUGACUUCUCCGGAAGUGUUAUAGCCUAUUAUCACAUACACUGGGUGAGACUGAGGACUGCAGCUCGCCUUUAUGGCCGGCCUUCGGGCACGUUCGAGCUUAGGAUGUUGACAUAAUGGCUUUAAACGACCCGUC
rnacentral:rRNA from 1 species